rnacentral:rRNA from 1 species
ACAGUGGACGCGAGCAUCUGUGGCCAAGUUUUUAAGGGCGCACGGUGGAUGCCUUGGCACCAGGAACCGAUGAAGGACGUGGGAGGCCACGAUAGUCCCCGGGGAGUCGUCAACCAGGCUUUGAUCCGGGGGUUUCCGAAUGGGGAAACCCGGCAGUCGUCAUGGGCUGUCACCC